rnacentral:lncRNA from 1 species
GGCAAUAAAUAAUUUGGGGGAUUUCAUCAAACCAACAAGCUGCCUUCGUUUUGGUGGUGGAGCUUCUCUUGUGUGGCUGGCUGUUCGCACAAGCAAAGCAGGUGUUCGUUGUGUUUCUCAGUUAUAAGAUGCUUAAUUCAUCACUCACAAUUCACAACUCAACAGCAACGACGACAAGAACGCGAGCAAUACCAAUCUCCCGAACAUCAAAUGUGUACAUAUUGAUUUAAUCAAUUUGGAGAAUUCUUCCGAGACUUCAUUGCUUCUACUCAACUAGCUGGUCUAGCUUGCUAAUAUCCAAUAUUUGAGCAUCAGUUCAACUACUCUUAAGGUUCUUUCCUUAGUUCCUAACUUAUUGAUGGCUGAGCUCCCUUCCUUGUGUAACUUGAAGUCACUGAGAGUAUAUGUUGACUCAUGCUUAUCCAUACCUGAUGGAAUAGUUGACUUUUUGCUUCGAAAGUCACCCUCAGCAAAGGUCGACAUCAUAGACUGGUCGAGUUGAAACGAGAGUCAAGAGCACAUGAGAGCAGAAGUUAUCCAUGUUUGAUUUUGCAGUAAAGGCACGGUGGAAGGUACGAAAGCUAGAGGAAUCUCUGAUAUGUUUUGCCAAGAACUUGGAAUCAAGAGAGUCCUCAAGCAUGAUGACCUGUAACAAUAACAUUUUUUCACAAGAGAUAUCUUUCUCUAAUAGCUAGAUAACAUGUUUAAGAUUUAUUUAUUUUCCACAGUUUAUUUGUUUGUUUCAAGUAUUCUACUUUUAAGGGAUUUAUAUAUUUUCAUUUGAUUAUUUUCGAGCCAUAUGUUUGAUCCCUCUUUACUUAAUUUGGAGAAAAUGAUGUGAUUUGGAUUAGAUUCUCCAACUAUUUGGUUACAAAAUCGUGGGCUACAUGUUAUAUCAAUCUACAGGUUUUAGUUAUCUUAACUCUUGUGUUUCUUGAGAUUGUUGUCAAUUGAAUGCGAAAAAAUGAUUUAGUGCAAUGUCCAACUGUCAUUAUAUUUAUCAGGAAAUUAUUUACCAACAUCAAAACACAACACAAUCAUACAACUACAAUCUACUUUGUACAAAAAGAAUUACAUAGAACAAACAAUGUAAAACCGUUUCUCCAUUAAGAUGUAACACUACCAAGUAGUAUCAUUUUAAGACAUCCUUAGAUAUGAGAUAUCUAAAAUUGAAGUUAUGUGGAAUCCAUUCUAUGCACUUCUUGGAUUUUGGAAUCUGACAUUUCUUAACUCUUUUCCUUAGUGAUUCAGGUAGAGGUUCUAGGAUCAUAUCCAUGACACCACUAGGACACAAAUCCGAGUCUUUUGCGAAUGAUUCAACAAGCUUCGGUAGAAGUAUUUUUUGGUCCUUUCGUACGCCUAAAGUAGCUCGAAUGUACUCGUCUUUCGCUACUUCUAGAUCUUGAAACACCCUCUUUGGUGUAUAUGCACAGUACCGCUGGAUCAGAAUGGUUUCCUGAACAUAGAGCAAAGUGUGAAAGUGGCUCAAGAUGUUCCAAUGCAUAUGCUUGUCGUCCAUCUC